UACAGAGGCCUCGAGCGUUAGGCGGAAUCACUGGGCUUAAAGCGUGUGUAGGCGGACUUCUAAGUACCCUGUGAAAUCCCACGGCUUACCCGUGGAACUGCUGGGUAUACUGGUUGUCUUGAGCCACUUAGGGGCUACCGGAACAAAUGGUGGAGCGGUGAAAUGCGUAGAUAUCAUUUGGAACGCCAAUGGUGAAAACAGGUAGCUGGGAGUGUGCUGACGCUGAGACACGAAAGCCAGGGGAGCGAACGGG
rnacentral:rRNA from 1 species